GUUGCAGUGAUGAGAAGCUAACAUGUAAGAAGGGCCACUUUCGUAGUGGCAUCUUUGAUGAAAUCUAUUUGUUACGCUUGGCUUCUGAGCAUA